AGCAGCCGCGGUAAUUCCAGCUCCAAUAGCGUAUAUUAAAGUUGUUGCAGUUAAAAAGCUCGUAGUUGAAUUUCGGGAUUUUACCGUCGGUCGGGCUACCAAGUCUGUACUGGUGUGUAGAAUUCCUACCUUCUGGGGAACCAUCAUGUUAUUAAUUUAGCGUGGUGGGAAACCAGGACCUUUACCUUGAAAAAAUUAGAGUGUUCAAAGCAGGCUUAUGUCUGAAUACAUUAGCAUGGAAUAAUAGAAUAGGACGGUGGUCCUGUUUUGUUGGUUUCUGAAUCACCGUAAUGAUUAAUAGGGAUAGUUGGGGGCAUUAGUAUUCAAUCGUCAGAGGUGAAAUUCUUGGAUUUAUUGAAGACUAACUUCUGCGAAAGCAUUUGCCAAGGAUGUUUUCAUUAAUCAAGAACGAAAGUUAGGGGAUCGAAGACGAUACAGAUACCGUCGUAG
rnacentral:rRNA from 1 species